rnacentral:tRNA from 1 species
GCCCCCAUAGCUUAACCC